rnacentral:rRNA from 1 species
AUUGAACGCUGGCGGCAUGCCUUACACAUGCAAGUCGAACGGUAACGCGGGGCAACCUGGCGACGAGUGGCGAACGGGUGAGUAACGCAUCGGAACGUGCCCAGUAGUGGGGGAUAGCCCGGCGAAAGCCGGAUUAAUACCGCAUACGACCUCAGGGUGAAAGCGGGGGAUCGCAAGACCUCGCGCUAUUGGAGCGGCCGAUGUCAGAUUAGGUAGUUGGUGGGGUAAAAGCCUACCAAGCCUGCGAUCUGUAGCUGGUCUUAGAGGGCGACCAGCCACACUGGGACUGAGACACGGCCCAGACUCCUACGGGAGGCAGCAGUGGGGGAAUUUUGGACAAUGGGCGAAAGCCUGAUCCAGCCAUGCCGCGUGCGGGAAGAAGGCCUCGG